UACAGAGGGGGCAAGCGUUGUUCGGAAUUACUGGGCGUAAAGGGCGCGUAGGCGGCCUGCUAAGUCGAACGUGAAAUCCCUGGGCUCAACCCAGGAACUGCGUCCGAUACUGGUUGGCUUGAAUCCGGGAGAGGGAUGUGGAAUUCCAGGUGUAGCGGUGAAAUGCGUAGAUAUCUGGAGGAACACCGGUGGCGAAGGCGACAUUCUGGACCGGUAUUGACGCUGAGGCGCGAAAGCCAGGGGAGCAAACAGG
rnacentral:rRNA from 1 species